AAACUCAAAGGAAUUGACGGGGGCCCGCACAAGCGGCGGAGCAUGUGGAUUAAUUCGAUGCAACGCGAAGAACCUUACCUGGGUUUGACAUGCACAGGAUCGCCUCAGAGAUGGGGUUUCCCUUGUGGUCUGUGUACAGGUGGUGCAUGGCUGUCGUCAGCUCGUGUCGUGAGAUGUUGGGUUAAGUCCCGCAACGAGCGCAACCCUUGUCCUACGUUGCCAGCGGGUUAUGCCGGGGACUCGUGGGAGACUGCCGGGGUCAACUCGGAGGAAG
rnacentral:rRNA from 1 species